rnacentral:rRNA from 1 species
UACAGAGGUCUCAAGCGUUGUUCGGAUUCAUUGGGCGUAAAGAGCGCGCAGGCGGCUGGUCAAGUCCGAUGUGAAAUCUCCCGGCUCAACUGGGAAACUGCAUCGGAAACUGAUCGGCUUGAAGAUGGGAGAGGGUAGUGGAAUUCCCGGUGUAGUGGUGAAAUGCGUAGAUAUCAGGAGGAACACCGGUGGCGAAGGCGGCUGCCUGGACAUCCACUGACGCUGAGACGCGAAAGCGUGGGGAGCAAACAGG